rnacentral:rRNA from 1 species
AAACCAACAGGGAUUGCCUCAGUAGCGGCGAGUGAAGCGGCAAGAGCUCAGAUUUGAAAUCGCCUCGGCGAGUUGUAAAUUGCAGGUUGGAGUCUUUGUGGCGGCGUGUGUCUAAGUCCCUUGGAACAGGGCGCCAUUGAGGGUGAGAGCCCCGUGCGGCACGCGUCUAAGCUUUAAGACCCUUCUGACGAGUCGAGUUGUUUGGGAAUGCAGCUCUAAGUGGGUGGUAAAUUCCAUCUAAGGCUAAAUACUGGCGAGAGACUGAUAGCGAACAAGUACUGUGAAGGAAGAUGAAAAGCACUUUGAAAAGAGAGUGAAACAGCACGUGAAAUUGUUGAAAGGGAAGGGUAUUGGGCUCGACAUGGGGACUGCGCACCGUUGCUUCUUGUAGGCGGCGCUCUGUGCGGUUUCUGGGCCAGCAUCAGUUUUUGCCGCGGGAGAAUGGGGGGAGAACGUGGCUCUUCGGAGUGUUAUAGCCUCUCU